rnacentral:rRNA from 1 species
AUUGAACGCUGGCGGCAGGCCUAACACAUGCAAGUCGAGCGAGCGGCGGACGGGUGAGUAAUGUAUGGGGACUGCCCGAUAGAGGGGGAUAACUACUGGAAACGGUGGCUAAUACCGCAUACUGUCGGAUGACCCAUAUGGGAUUAGCUAGUAGGUAAGGUAAUGGCUGACCUAGGCGACGAUCCCUAGCUGGUCUGAGAGGAUGAUCAGCAACACUGGGACUGAGACACGGCCCAGACACGUACGGAGGCAGCAGUGGCAGAUAGUGCACAAUGGGCGAAAGCCCGAGGCAGCGAUGCCGCGUGGGGGAUGAAGGCUUACGGGUUGUAAACCUCUUACGCUAUCGAACGGGUAGGUGGAGAAGAAGCGCCGGCUAACUACGUGCCAGCAGCCGCGGUAAUAC